rnacentral:rRNA from 1 species
UAACACAUGCAAGUCGAGCGGUAACAGGGGGUGCUUGCACCCUGCUGACGAGCGGCGGACGGGUGAGUAAUGCUUAGGAAUCUGCCCAGUAGUGGGGGACAACAGUCGGAAACGGCUGCUAAUACCGCAUACGCCCUACGGGGGAAAGCAGGGGAUCUUCGGACCUUGCGCUAUUGGAUGAGCCUAAGUCGGAUUAGCUAGUUGGUGGGGUAAAGGCCUACCAAGGCGACGAUCCGUAGCUGGUCUGAGAGGAUGAUCAGUCACACUGGAACUGAGACACGGUCCAGACUCCUACGGGAGGCAGCAGUGAGGAAUCUUGCACAAUGGGCGAAAGCCUGAUGCAGCGACGCCGCGUGAGGGACGAAGGCCUUCGGGUUGUAAAGCACUUUCAGCGAGGAGGAAGGCCUUAAAGUUAAUACCUUUAGGGAUUGACGUUACUCGCAGAAGAAGCACCGGCUAACUCCGUGCCAGCAGCCGCGGUAAUAAGGGCGAAUUC